rnacentral:rRNA from 1 species
CCUACGGGGGGCAGCAGUGGGGGAUAUUGCACAAUGGGGGGAACCCUGAUGCAGCGACGCCGCGUGGGUGAAGGAGCGUUUAGGCGCGUAAAGCCCUAUCGGCAGGGAAGAAGAUGACGGUACCUGACCAAGAAGCCCCGGCUAACUACGUGCCAGCAGCCGCGGUAAUACGUAGGGGGCAAGGGUUAUCCGGAUUUACUGGGUGUAAAGGGGGCGCAGACGGCAAUGCAAGCCAGGAGUGAAAGCCCGGGGCCCAACCCCGGGACUGCUCUUGGAACUGCAUGGCUGGAGUAAAGGAGGGGCAGGCGGAAUGCGUAGUGUAGCGGUGAAAUGCGUAGAUAUUAAGAGGAACACCGGUUGCGAAGGCAGCCUGCCAAGCCAUGACUGACGCUGAUGCACGAAAGCGUGGGGAUCAAACAGGAUUAGAUACCCGAGUAGUC